AUUGCAUUGAAUCUGUAUAUUGUAUGGAGUCAUGAGGGCAUGGAGGCAUGAGUGCAUGGGAGAAUAGGGUGAUGGGGCCAUGGAGGCACGAGGACAUGGAGGAAUGAGGGCAUGAAUGUAUGGGGUCAUAGUGCCAUUAUGACAUGGAAGUAUGAAGGCAUGGGGGCAUGGAUAAAUGUAGGCAUGGGGUCAUGGGGGCAUAAGGAAAUGAAGCCAUGUGGGCAUGAGGGCAUGCAUCAUGGGGUCAUGGACACAUGGAGGCAUGUGGGCAUGGGCGCAUGAGGGCAGGAGGACAUGGAACCUUGAGGACGACAUGAUUGUAUGGGGUCAUGGUGGCAUGAGGGAAUGGAGGCCUGGGGGCAUGUGGGCAUAAAGGCCCCUCGGGAUUGGGGGGAGGCAAGGGGGCAUGGAGGCAUGGAGUCAUGGGGGCAUGAGGGUUUGUAGGCAUGGGGGCACGAGUGCAUCGAGGCAAGGGGCCAUGGAGCCAUGGGGUCAUGGAGGAAUGGGGGCAUGGAGGUGUGGAGGCAAGUCCUUAUCCUGCAAUUAGAGCCCAAAUCCAAGAAUGUAUACUUUUUAGCAUAAGCACCUUCAAAGUGCCCAUUCAACUCUCCUUGUGUUUGAAGUCAUCACAGUUUUGAGGGGAUUCAGAUGCUAGUUCAUCUGGCUUUGCAGGGUAUUUAGCCCAGUGAUAAACUAGUACACAAGAAGGGGACAGGUGACAAUGACAGAUGCAUAUAAGUGAAAGAGUUAGCUGUUUAAACCUAAAAGCAGAAGCACCACUCUAGAACAGAAUACAGUUAGAAGCCCAAGUCAGCAGACGUGCACUUAGACAAACUCUCCUGGGAACCUUCUUCAGACCGUGCUGAAUGAAGUACAAGUGACUUCAUCGAUUUUUUCCUUAACUUUUUUUUUUUUUUUUUUUGAUUUUUUUCGAGACAGGGUUUCUCUGUAUGUCCUGGCUGUCCUGGAACUCACUUUGUAGACCAGGCUGGUCUUGAACUCAGAAAUCUGCUUGUCUUUGCCUCCCAAGUGUUGGGAUUAAAGGCAUAUGCCACCACUGCCUGGGUUCAUCUAUUUUUUU
rnacentral:lncRNA from 1 species